CGCGUAGGUGGUCCUUCAAGUCAGAUGUGAAAUCUCCCGGCUUAACUGGGAGCGGUCAUCUGAUACUGCUGGACUUGAGGGUGGUAGAGGGAGGUGGAAUUCCCGGUGUAGUGGUGAAAUGCGUAGAUAUCGGGAGGAACACCAGUGGCGAAGGCGGCCUCCUAGGCCAUUCCUGACACUGAGGCGCGAAAGCGUGGGGAGCGAACAGGAUCAGAUACCCUGGUAGUCCACGCCCUAAACUGUGGAAACUAGGUACAGGGAGUAUCGACCCUUCCUGCGCCGUAGCUAACGCGUUAAGUUUCCCGCCUGGGGACUACGGUCGCAAGACUAAA
rnacentral:rRNA from 1 species